rnacentral:rRNA from 1 species
GAAGUAAAAGUCGUAACAAGGUUUCCGUAGGUGAACCUGCGGAAGGAUCAUUACCUAGAGUUGCGGGCUUUGCCUGCCAUCUCUUACCCAUGUCUUUUGAGUACCUUACGUUUCCUCGGCGGGUCCGCCCGCCGAUUGGACAAUUUAAACCAUUUGCAGUUGCAAUCAGCGUCUGAAAAAAACUUAAUAGUUACAACUUUCAACAACGGAUCUCUUGGUUCUGGCAUCGAUGAAGAACGCAGCGAAAUGCGAUAAGUAGUGUGAAUUGCAGAAUUCAGUGAAUCAUCGAAUCUUUGAACGCACAUUGCGCCCCUUGGUAUUCCAUGGGGCAUGCCUGUUCGAGCGUCAUUUGUACCUUCAAGCUCUGCUUGGUGUUGGGUGUUUGUCUCGCCUCCGCGCGCAGACUCGCCUCAAAACAAUUGGCAGCCGGCGUAUUGAUUUCGGAGCGCAGUACAUCUCGCGCUUUGCACUCACAACGACGACGUCCAAAAGUACAUUUUUUACACUCUUGACCUCGGAUCAGGUAGGGAUACCCGCUGAACUUAAGC